rnacentral:rRNA from 1 species
CGAGUGGCGGACGGGUGAGUAAUGUCUGGGAAACUGCCCGAUGGAGGGGGAUAACUACUGGAAACGGUAGCUAAUACCGCAUAACGUCGCAAGACCAAAGAGGGGGACCUUCGGGCCUCUUGCCAUCGGAUGUGCCCAGAUGGGAUUAGCUAGUAGGUGGGGUAACGGCUCACCUAGGCGACGAUCCCUAGCUGGUCUGAGAGGAUGACCAGCCACACUGGAACUGAGGCACGGUCCAG